rnacentral:rRNA from 1 species
AGUGAACGCUGGCGGUAGGCCUAACACAUGCAAGUCGAACGGCAGCACAGUAAUAGCUUGCUCUUACGGGUGGCGAGUGGCGGACGGGUGAGGAAUACAUCGGAAUCUACUUUUUCGUGGGGGAUAACGUAGGGAAACUUACGCUAAUACCGCAUACGACCUACGGGUGAAAGCAGGGGAUCUUCGGACCUUGCGCGAUUGAAUAAGCCGAUGUCGGAUUAGCUAGUUGGCGGGGUAAAGGCCCACCAAGGCGACGAUGGCUAGCUGGUGUGGGAGGAUGAAGCGCGCCACUGGGAGUGAGACACGGUCCAGGCUCCUACGGGCGGCAGCAGUGGGGACUAUUGGCAGAUGGGGGCAAGCCUGCUCCAGCCAUACCGGCUUGGUGCAGAAGGCCUUCGUGUUGUAAAGCCCUUUUGUUGGGAUAGACAAGCAGCAGGUUAAUCCCCCGCUGUUCUGACGGUACCCAGAGAAUAAGCACCGGCUAACUUCGUG